rnacentral:rRNA from 1 species
CCCUUAGAUGUUCUGGGCAGCACGCGCGCUACAAUGGUCUUCGCAAACGGAUGCAUUCUCGAAGGAGAAUGCCAAUCUUGGAAUCUAUGCCUUGGUCGGGACAGUUGCUUGCAAUUUUUCGACUCGAACCAGGAAUUCCUUGUAAUCGUGAUUCAUCACAUCACGAUGAAUGCGUCCCUGCCCUUUGUACACACCGCCCGUCGCUCCUACCGAUCGAAGAGUUAGGUGAAUUGUUUUGAUCGAUAAGAUUUGACUAUGGUUAACUCUCGUUGUGAAAUUCUGUGAAUCUGACUGUUUAGAGGAAGGAAAAGUCGUAACA